AUGGGCCCUCUUGUGGUAGACCCACAUGUCAUCGGUGUAACUAUUUACACUCCGGAGGACGGUGCCUAUAUCCUGGUAGUAGUACUAGUAGAAUUGAGAUUUAAUGCACUUUCUUCCCCGUCUUCCACUCUUCUUCCUCCUCUCUUCUUCUUCCUCGUCUCUUACCCAUCGUCGGUCGCACACCAUUUACCCCCGCUCAGUGCUCGCCCGCCCGCGCCAUCUUCCUUGGUAGCUCGCGAGUACCAUAUCCCCCCGCUCACUGCUCGGCCACACGAGGAGAAGCUUCUUUGCUCGCCUGCCCGAAUCCACUUCCCCGCUGGCUCUAGAUGCAAAGGCCUUCAUGAUUCCAGGACCUGGAAUCAUACCAGCCGAUGGGGGGGCUGUGUUUACACAUCAUACCAUGGGUUUCAUGAAUCACCAUAUCCAGAGAUUCGUCGACACAGCUUGUUGCCAGUACCAUAUAACUGGAAUUACCGAUGCAAGUCGAAGAAGGAUUGGCCGGUGCUGCCGGCUGGCGUCAAGUUCGAUCCCAUGGAUCAGGAGCUGAUCGAGCACCUUGAGGCCAAAGUGAGUGUUGACAGCGCGAGAUUUCAGUCUCUCAUCGAUUUGUUCAUACCAACCAUCGACAGCGAGCACGGCAUAUGCUACACCCAACCUGAGAAACUUCCAUGUAUCACACUGAGUGGCCUAAGGAAGCAUUUCUUCCAGUGCAAUUCCAGGGCGUUCAAAAGGGGCACGUGGACGCGUCGCAAGAUACAGUCAGAGUGUGGCACGCACGCGAUGUGGCACAAGACCGGCAAUACCUUGCCUGUGAUGCAAAGGACCAACUGGGUGAUGCACCAGUACCACAUCGGGGACCUGGAGCAAGAGAAGGAGCGGGAGCUGGUCCUCUGCAAGAUUUUCUACCAGACGAACACUAGGGCCAGGAGCCCAGGAGUAGUUUGGUAUUGGUAG
rnacentral:rRNA from 1 species